rnacentral:lncRNA from 1 species
CAUGGUUGGCGGACUGUCAAGUUUAGCUAAGUGUACUAUGGGUUAAUGUGUUGAUUUAGGUCUUAAGUUUGCCAUGUAAGCUUUAUCAGUAUGGGGUUUCCAAUACACCAUGGAAAUUCCUCUUCAUGCAUGGCCAGAUCAUGUCCAGGUUUGCUUUCAUCGCUGCACGAUUAGUUGCUUCGGUGACAAUGAGGCCUGGAUGUCUAACGCUGGUGGUUGUGACGGUGACCUGGAGCAUUUGGCGCUUCAGCAUGAUGGCUUUGGCUAGAUUUCGGACAGCGUCAUUGCUCUGCUAAGAGAAUGUUCUAUUGAAACUGAGGAUAUGAUGUCCAUGUAUUGAGACCUGCUUCAGUCAUCUUCCGUCAUGGUGCAGUGAUUUGGAGUGUCCAGGAGGUGGCACUCUGUCCUGUUCCUGGUGAGGAGGAUGCAGAAAUGGAAAGGAUCAAAAAGCAAGAGCAGGACUGGAGUUGGCAUUGAACCUGUCUUCCCUUCAGUGGGGAUGUGGAAUAAAAGGGGAUGAAAGUUUGUCAAGCCCACCAUUAUACAAGGAUGACUGUAUUUACAUGAUGCAAAUCAUUUUCCAAUAAAAUGAUGUCUGG